GAUGAACGCUGGCGGCGUGCCUAAUACAUGCAAGUCGAGCGAACAGACGAGGAGCUUGCUCCUCUGACGUUAGCGGCGGACGGGUGAGUAACACGUGGAUAACCUACCUAUAAGACUGGGAUAACUUCGGGAAACCGGAGCUAAUACCGGAUAAUAUAUUGAACCGCAUGGUUCAAUAGUGAGAGACGGUUUUGCUGUCACUUAUAGAUUGAUCCGCGCCGCAUUAGCUAGUUGGUAAGGUAACGGCUUACCAAAGCGACGAUGCGUAGCCGCCCUGAGAGGGUGAUCGGCCACACUGGAACUGAGACACGGUCCAGACUCCUACGGGAGGCAGCAGUAGGGAAUCUUCCGCAAUGGGCGAAAGCCUGACGGAGCAACGCCGCGUGAGUGAUGAAGGUCUUCGGAUCGUAAAACUCUGUUAUUAGGGAAGAACAAAUGUGUAAGUAACUAUGCACGUCUUGACGGUACCUAAUCAGAAAGCCACGGCUAACUACGUG
rnacentral:rRNA from 1 species